UACAGAGGUCCCAAGCGUUGUUCGGAUUCAUUGGGCGUAAAGGGUGCGUAGGCGGCGCGGUAAGUCGGGUGUGAAAUCUCGGGGCUUAACUCCGAAACUGCAUUCGAUACUGCCGUGCUUGAGGACUGGAGAGGAGACUGGAAUUUACGGUGUAGAGGUGAAAUUCGUAGAUAUUGGGAAGAACACCGGUGGCGAAGGCGGCGACCUGGUCCGAUACUGACGCUGAGGCGCGAAAGCUAGGGGAGCAAACGGG
rnacentral:rRNA from 1 species